rnacentral:rRNA from 1 species
UAAAGGGCCGCGGUAUUUUGACCGUGCAAAGGUAGCAUAAUCAUUAGUCUUCUAAUUAAAGGCUGGAAUGAAGGGUUGGACGAGGUACUAGCUGUCUCACUGAAAUGAUUUAGAAUUUAACUUUUCAGUCAAAAGGCUGAAAUAAAGUUGGAGGACGAGAAGACCCUAUAGAUCUUUACAUUUAAUUUAAUUAUUUUGUUUGGGUAGGUUUUAAAUUUUUAAGGCAAAUGUUUCGUUGGGGUGACGGGAAGAUAAAUAAAACUCUUUUUAAAUAGAACAUUGAUGAGUGAAUAGUUGAUCCAUUGUUGAUGAUUAUAAGACUAAGUUACCUUAGGGAUAACAGCGUAAUCUUUUUUGAGAGUUCUAAUCGACAAAAAGGGUUGCGACCUCGAUGUUGGACUAAGGGUAAUUUUGGGUGUAGCAGCUCAAAUUUUAGGUCUGUUCGACCUUU